rnacentral:miRNA from 1 species
UGCCAAGGGUUUGGGGGAACAUUCAACCUGUCGGUGAGUUUGGGCAGCUCAGACAAACCAUCGACCGUUGAGUGGACCCCGAGGCCUGGAACUGCC